CUUUGGGGCCUCCGUUGAGAUUUGGGGUCAGAAAGGGCGGUUUUGGGGUCCAAUGGGGCCAUAAUGGAGAUUUGGGGUCAGAAAGGGCGGUUUUGGGGUCCAUUGGGGCCAUAAUGGAGAUUUGGGGUCAGAAAGGGCAUUUUUGGGGUCCUUUGGGGUCACCGUGGAGAUUUGGGGUCAGAAAGGGCGGUUUUGGGGUCCUUUGGGGCCAUAAUGGAGAUUUGGGGUCAGAAAGGGCGGUUUUGGGGUCCAAUGGGGUCACCAUUGAGAUUUGGGGUCUGAAAGGGCAGUUUUGGGGUCCUUUGGGGUCACCGUGGAGAUUUGGGGUCAGAAAGGGUGGUUUUGGGGUCCUUUGGGGUCUCCAUUGAGAUUUGGGGUCAGAAAGGGCGGUUUUGGGGUCCAAUGGGGUCACUGUGGAGAUUUGGGGUCAGAAAGGGCGGUUUUGGGGUCCAAUGGGGUCACCGUGGAGAUUUGGGGUCAGAAAGGGCGGUUUUGGGGUCCAAUGGGGUCACUGUGGAGAUUUGGGGUCAGAAAGGGCGGUUUUGGUGUCCUUUGGGGUCACCGUGGAUAUUUGGGGUCAGAAAGGGCGGUUUUGGGGUCCUUUGGGGUCACCGUGGAGAUUUGGGGUCAGAAAGGGCGGUUUUGGGGCCCAAUGGGGCCAUAAUGGAGAUUUGGGGUCAGAAAGGGCGGUUUUGGGGUCCAAUGGGACCAUAAUGGAGAUUUGGGGUCAGAAAGGGCGGUUUUGGGGUCCUUUGGGGCCAUAAUGGAGAUUUGGGGUCAGAAAGGGCAGUUUUGGGGUCCUUUGGUGUCACCGUGGAGAUUUGUGGCCAGAAAGGGCGAUUUUGGGGUCCAAUGGGGCCAUAAUGGAGAUUUGGGGUCAGAAAGGGCGGUUUUGGGGUCCUUUGGGGUCACCGUGGAGAUUUGGGGUCAGAAAGGGCAGUUUUGGGGUCCAUUGGGGUCACCGUGGAGAGUUGGGGUCAGAAAGGGCGGUUUUGGGGUCCUUUGGGGUCACCGUGGAGAUUUGGGGUCAGAAAGGGCGGUUUUGGGGUCCAAUGGGGCCAUAAUGGAGAUUUGGGGUCAGAAAGGGCGGUUUUGGGGUCUUUUGGGGUCACCAUUGAGAUUUGGGGUCAGAAAGGGCGGUUUUGGGGUCCUUUGGGGUCACCGUGGAGAUUUGGGGUCAGAAAGGGCGGUUUUGGGGUCCAAUGGGGCCAUAAUGGAGAUUUUGGGUCAGAAAGGGCGGUUUUGGGGUCCAAUGGGGUCACCGUGGAGAUUUGGGGCCAAACAGAGCGGGUUUGGGGUCAAAUUUGGGGUCGAAACGGAGAGUUUUUGGGGUUCUUCCCGCAGAUUUCGGGCUCUUCCUGACCCGCUCCGAUGGCUCCAUGUGGGUCUGUCCGUCAUGGGGGCGCCGGGACCCCCACAACCAUCGUUGGCACCGACGGAAGGUGUCCCAGCAGGGGGCGCUGUUGGGCCGAUUGGGGGCGGCGCUGCUGACGGCGGCGCGGGACGGAACCGUGCGGGUGUGGCACCCGAGGGGCGGGGCGCCGGUAAGGGGGCGGGGCUUCGGAAGUGGGCGGGGCCUACGAGGGGUGGGCGGGGCUUCGGAA
rnacentral:lncRNA from 7 species